UGGGAAGCAGGUUAAUAUUCCUGCACCACCAGGGAUGGCGUUGAAGCAAGCAGGGACGGAGAAGGGUAGGCCGGGCGCAGCGUAAGGUCGUCUGCGUUCAAGCCCGUAGGAGGGACCAUUAGGACCCAAUAGGGACAAACGGUGGUUCAUGACUCCGAGAGGUGAUGAGGUCCGGACUUGUCCGGGACACCCGGUGAUCCCAUGCUUCCAAGAAAAGCUGCGUGCAGAGCCCCUCUGGUGACCGUACCGCAAACCGACUCAGGUGGGCGGGGUGAGUAUCCCAAGGCGCGUGAGAGAACCCUGGUUAAGGAACUAGGCAAAAUAACACCGUAACUUCGGGAGAAGGUGUGCCGUUGAUGGUGAAGCCCUCCUCGGGCCGAGCUGUUGGCGGUUGCAGCGAAAUGGGGAUUGUGACUGUUUACUAAAAACAUAGGACUCUGCAAAGUCGAAAGACGACGUAUAGGGUCUGAUGCCUGCCCGGUGCUGGAAGGUUAAGGGGAAGUGUCAGCGCAAGCGAAGCACCCAACCGAAGCCCCAGUAAACGGCGGCCGUAACUAUAACGGUCCUAAGGUAGCGAAAUUCCUUGUCGGGUAAGUUCCGACCUGCACGAAUGGCAUAACAACAUUCCCGCUGUCUCAACCAGGGACUCAGCGAAAUGCAUAGGGGGUGAAGAUGCCCUCUACCCGCGGCAAGACGGGAAGACCCCAUGAACCUUUACUGCAACUUGGCAGUGAACUUCGGGAUGUUCUGCGUAGGAUAGGUGGGAGGCGUUGAAGCCGGGCUUCCGGGUUCGGCAGAGCCACCGUUGAAAUACCACCCUGAACAUUCUGGGGUUCUAACCUAGGCCCGUGAUCCGGGUCGGGGACACUGCCUGGUAGGCAGUUUGACUGGGGCGGUCGCCUCCAAAAUCGUAACGGAGGCGUGCGAAGGUUCCCUCAGCCUGAUUGGAAACCAGGCGUAGAGUGCAAACGCAUAAGGGAGCUUGACUGUGAGACCGACAGGUCGAGCAGGUGCGAAAGCAGGUGUUAGUGAUCCGGUGGUUCCUGAUGGAAGGGCCAUCGCUCAACGGAUAAAAGGUACUCUGGGGAUAACAGGCUGAUCGCGCCUGAGAGUUCACAUCGGCGGCGCGGUUUGGCACCUCGAUGUCGGCUCAUCGCAUCCUGGGGCUGGAGCAGGUCCCAAGGGUUUGGCUGUUCGCCAAUUAAAGCGGUACGCGAGCUGGGUUUAGAACGUCGUGAGACAGUUCGGUCCCUAUCUGCCGUGGGCGUAGGACACUUGAGAGGAGUUGCCCAUAGUACGAGAGGACCUGGGUGAACGUACCCCUGGUGAUCCGGUUGUUCUGCCAAGAGCAUUGCCGGGCAGCUACGUACGGAACGGAUAACCGCUGAAAGCAUCUAAGCGGGAAGCCGGCCUCAAGACUAGGUGUCCCGUCGAAAGACCUAAAGGCUCCAUGUAGACCACGUGGUAAUAGGCUGGGUGUGAAAGCGUAGCAAUGCGCGGAGCUAACCAGUACUAAUAAGCCGUGAGGCUUGACC
rnacentral:rRNA from 1 species